rnacentral:tRNA from 1 species
UCCCUGGUAACUCAGAGGGUAAAGAAUCUGCCUACAAUGCAGGAGACCGAGGUUCAAUCCCUGGGUAGGGAA